AUUGAACGCUGGCGGCAUGCCUUACACAUGCAAGUCGAACGGCAGCACGGGAGCAAUCCUGGUGGCGAGUGGCGAACGGGUGAGUAAUGUAUCGGAACGUGCCCAGUCGUGGGGGAUAACGUAGCGAAAGUUACGCUAAUACCGCAUACGAUCUAUGGAUGAAAGCAGGGGAUCGCAAGACCUUGCGCGAUUGGAGCGGCCGAUAUCAGAUUAGGUAGUUGGUGGGGUAAAAGCUUACCAAGCCUACGAUCUGUAGCUGGUCUGAGAGGACGACCAGCCACACUGGGACUGAGACACGGCCCAGACUCCUACGGGAGGCAGCAGUGGGGAAUUUUGGACAAUGGGCGAAAGCCUGAUCCAGCCAUGCCGCGUGCAGGAUGAAGGCCUUCGGGUUGUAAACUGCUUUUGUACGGAACGAAACGGCCUUUUCUAAUACAGGAGGCUAAUGACGGUACCGUAAGAAUAAGCACCGGCUAACUACGUGCCAGCAGCCGCAGUAA
rnacentral:rRNA from 1 species